AUUGAACGCUGGCGGCAGGCCUAACACAUGCAAGUCGAGCGAGCGGCGGACGGGUGAGUAAUGCCUGGGAAUUGCCCAGUCGAGGGGGAUAACAGUUGGAAACGACUGCUAAUACCGCAUACGAUUGGAUUGCCCAGGUGGGAUUAGCUAGUUGGUGAGGUAAUGGCUCACCAAGGCGACGAUCCCUAGCUGGUCUGAGUGGAUGGUCAGCCACACUGGAACGUGAACACGUCCCAAACUCCUCCGGGAGGCAGCAGGGGGGAAUAUUGCACAAGGGGGGAAACCCUGAUGCAGCCAUGCCGCGUGGGUGAAGAAGGCCUUCGGGUUGUAAAGUACUUUCAGCGAGGAGGCGUUACUCGCAGAAGAAGCACCGGCUAACUCCGUGCCAGCAGCCGCGGUAAUAC
rnacentral:rRNA from 1 species